rnacentral:tRNA from 1 species
GGGGAUAUGGCGGAAUUGGUAGACGCUACGGACUUAAAAUCCGUUGACAAUUAUUGUCGUGAGGGUUCAAGUCCCUCUAUCCCCA